ensembl:snoRNA
UCUGGUGAAUAUGAUGACUAUCUUUUUUCCCCAGCAGAUCGACUUUGUUGACUGUCUGCUAUUUUAAGCCAAAUUUGUCUGAUUCACCAGC